CGAGAUCGUGACCUGGCCGAAGUCGGACGCUCAACCGACUGCGCCACCCAGGCGCCCCUCUAAUAUGGUGAUUCUUGAUAGCGAUAUCCCACAGAAGCAAAAGCGUUUAGGGGUUCUCAAAAUUUUUAAGAGUGACGGGGGGAGGGGGUUCCUGAGACCAAAAACUUUGAGCACCUCUGGUCAAAGAAAUGCAAAUUAAAUUUAGAUAUUCUGUUUGAUCCAUGAGCCAGGCUAAAAUUUUCAAAAUUAAUAAUAUCAAGGGUUGGUAAGAGUACAUACUCGGAUUGCUUAAUGGGUUAUAAAUUGGUACAGUCACUUUAAAGGACAAUUAGGCUGUGUCUAUUAUAGGGGCUGGCAAACUUCUUCUACGAAGACUAAAAGAAGGGGGGGAGCCUUAUUUAUAUUUAAAGGCUUAUUUAUAUUUAAAAUAAUUAUAUUUUAAUGUUCAGUUGCUCUGCUCUUAAGUGCCUACGAAAGAAAUACACCUGUAUCGUUAUCUACUAUGGGCUGAGAAUUGUUUUCAUCAGUUUACAUGUAUUAAUCGACACAACGGUCUUCGCACAACAGUCUUAUCAGAUCAGGAAACUGAGGCUCAGAGAGGGGAGAGUCAUUUGCCCAGGUUCACAGCCUGCGGGAAGUCAUGAAGGUCACAGCCAGGAGCUGCCUCCAGAGUUAACUGGCGUAAAGAAUGAGCGAACACACUGGAAGCGUGGAGCUCUCUCUGAAGGCGAGGCAAGGCUCUUUCCAUGACUGCUCCCCGCAGGGCUGCGUGCAGGAUGCGAUAAUGGUCCCGGAGCCGGAUGUGCGCCCGCGCUGACGCUCCAGGUGAGCAGAGCCUCGGUGCGUCACCGUCUUGUGGGCAGGGGGGCCAAGCAGGUAGAAAAGGGCUUUUUCUCCACGAGGGACUUUCUUUAACAGACUUUGGGAAGGGUGUUUGCUGAGACCGUGUUCUGAUCAGAUAACAAUUAGACACUAAUCCUUCUAUUUUCGGCUGGCACCGAACCCGGUCCCGGCUUUAUCGCCCGCUGGUUAUCUGUGUCGCCUGGAAGGAACUCCGGGUAAGGUACAGGAAAAAGGCGGGGGUAUUGUUGGGGCUUCCUGCUGGCCAGCACACUGGCCUAUUGUUGCGUUUAUUUUUUUAAACUAUCACAUCACAAUUAUUUUGGCAACAUCCUUUUUCCAUCCUGGACCCAAUACAGUAUUUAUUGAACUCCACAAACUGCGUCAAUACGUGGUGCUUUCUGUAUUGUUGCCCACGUUCUUUAGGACAUUUUUUACAAUUCAUUGCAAGACUGUGCAGAUUGCCAUGGGAUCAGCCAUCCCUCCACCCUCGAAGUCAUAUAUUUUUAAACCAAAAGAGGCCUCCAAUAGGACCUUGCUCAGCCACUCCAUUUAAAUAAUAAUAAUAAUAAUAAUAAUAAUAAUAACAACAACAGAAUAGCAUUUCUUGAGAUUAUGAUGUUCCAGGCACUAUGCUCUACAUCAUCUCACGUCCAUGACUGUUGAUCUAUUUCCCAUUUUACAGAUGACAAAAGUGAGCUAAGGAAAGGGGUGUCAUUACCCUCUCAGCAAAAUCACCCCAAGCGAAAGCCAGAGAUACAGAUGUUCAAAGAAGGACAGAAUGGAUAGUAAGUCUUCAGCUCCCCGGACUGAGGUCUGGCUCAGGACUCCUCACUCCUUCCCAGGUGACUCCAUUCGCUUCCAACUUUCUCAUCAAUACCAGCCCUCCUUCUAAUCACAGUAGUGUCAUGCUGAACCCCUGCUUUAAAACUCACAAGCCUUUCCUUCAUCGGCUACAGAAUCAUAGUAGCUGCACGUAUUCCCCAGACACACUAUGCCUUGCCACUCCUCCUUUGCACAUACUAUUCCCUCUGCCCACAAUGCUGUUCCCAUCCUCCCAGACAGAUACGGUGUGAUUCAUCCUCCUGAGCCAACGCACCUUCUAUGAACAUUCCACAGGUUCUCAAGAGCUAUUAGAAUUGAAUUGAAUUGAACUGAAUUGACUUCUGGCUCAAUUGCCGCAACGUCUUCGAGCUCCAUUUUCUCAUCUGUAGGAUGGGCACAGUGAUGCCUUCCUCACAAGGUUUUUAUGAGAAAUAAAGCACAUCAAGUGGCUGCCACAUAAUAAGCUUUCAAUUUAAAGUGCUUUUAUCUUGCUGUUCUUACCAACCCAUGAAAAUUGUUUUACAAGAACGGGCUCACUCUCUUGGCUACAAGAUCUUCACAUGUCUGAUUUACAGAAAUAGAACCAAAAGCCUUGAAGUCUCCUUAUUUUGAAUCCUGAGUAAUA